rnacentral:misc_RNA from 1 species
GAUGAAGAACGCAGCGAACGUGCGAAACGUAAUGUGAAUUGCAGAAUUCAGUGAAUCAUCGAAUCUUUGAACGCAUCUUGCGCUCCUUGGUAUUCCGAGGAGCAUGCCUGUUUGAGUGUCGUGAAUACUCUCAACUUCAACCCUUUUUUCGGAAAGGGAGGAAGGUUGGACUUGGGUGUUUGUUGAAGUGCGAGCUUCGACUCAUCCUAAAUGCAUUAGCGAUCUGCCUCGAUCACACACAAUGUGAUAAUUAAAACUAAAGCAUUGUUUAAUGAUCAAGUCGAGACUGCUUCUAACUGUCGCAAGACAAUAACGUGCAUACAUUUGUGCAUGUCAUUUGACCUCAAAUCAGGUAGGACUACCCGCUGAACUUAAGCAUAUCAAUAGCGGAGGA